UGAUGUUUGAGACAGAUAAGAAUGAAACUUUUCUCCCGUUCGGCAUUCCAUUACCAUUUCGUUCUCCAUCUCCUCUUGUGUCUCUUCAGGCUGUCAAAGAAAGUGUUUCUAGCUUUGUGCGUAAAACUACUGAGAAGAUUGGCACCCUUCACACGAGCCCUGAUCUGAAAGUGAGACCAGAGCUCAGGGGUGAUGAGCAAUCAUGUGAAGAGGAUGUGAGUUCAGAUACCUGCCCAAAGGAGGAAGACACUGAGACCAAGCUACAGGACCCUCUGGUUUUAUUUGAAUCCGAGUCUCUGAGAAUGGUUUUACAGGAGUGGCUUUCACAUUUAGAAAAAACAUUUGCCAUGAAGGACUUUUCAGGUGUUUCAGAUACUGACAACUCAUCCAUGAAAUUGAACCAGGAUGUGCUAUUAGUUAAUGAAUCAAAAAAGGGAAUAUUAGAUGAAGAUAAUGAAAAAGAAAAAAGGGACUCUUUAGGCAAUGAAGAAUCUGUUGAUAAAACAGCAUGUGAAUGUGUAAGGAGUCCAAGGGAGUCUUUGGAUGACCUGUUUCAAAUAUGUUCUCCAUGCGCCAUUGCAAGUGGUCUUCGGAACGACCUGGCUGAAUUGACAACAUUAUGUUUGGAGUUGAAUGUAUUGAAUUCUAAGAUCAAAAGCACCAGUGGACAUGUGGACCACACUUUGCAACAGUACUCUCCUGAAAUUCUGGCUUGCCAGUUCCUGAAGAAGUACUUUUUUCUCCUGAACUUGAAAAGAGCGAAGGAGAGUAUCAAGCUUAGUUACAGUAAUAGCCCUUCUGUUUGGGAUACUUUUAUUGAAGGAUUGAAAGAAAUGGCAAGUUCCAAUCCUGUGUAUAUGGAGAUGGAAAAAGGAGAUCUACCAACAAGGUUAAAGUUACUAGAUGACGAGGUUCCUUUUGAUAGUCCGUUGUUGGUUGUUUAUGCUACCCGGUUGUAUGAAAAGUUUGGGGAGUCUGCUCUUCGAUCCUUAAUCAAGUUCUUUCCAUCCAUUUUGCCAUCGGAUAUCAUACAACUUUGUCAUCAUCAUCCUGCUGAGUUUUUGGCCUAUUUAGACAGUCUGGUGAAAUCAAGGCCUGAAGAUCAGCGGUCAUCUUUUCUUGAGUCCCUUCUGCAACCAGAGUCUUUAAGGUUGGAUUGGCUGCUUUUGGCAGUGUCCCUUGAUGCUCCACCAAGCACCAGCACAAUGGAUGAUGAAGGUUAUCCCAGUUUCUGGCCUGGAUAUCUAAUUCUCUGUUUGGAGCUGGAGAGAAGAAGAGAGGCCUUCACCAAUAUUGUGUAUCUGAAUGAUAUGAGCCUGAUGGAAGGGGACAAUGGUUGGAUCCCAGAGACCGUGGAGGAAUGGAAGCUUCUCCUUCAUCUCAUACAGAGCAAGAGCACGAGGCCAGCCCCCCAGGAGUCACUAAAUGGGAGCCUCAGUGAUGGGCCUUCCCCCAUCAAUGUGGAGAAUGUGGCACUUCUGUUAGCUAAGGCCAUGGGCCCAGAUCGGGCUUGGUCACUGCUACAGGAAUGUGGUCUGGCCCUUGAGUUGUCAGAGAAGUUUACCAGAACCUGCGAUAUCCUGAGGAUUGCUGAGAAAAGGCAGAGGUAAUAUCAGUUUGUCCUACCCUCUGCAUAGUGCUU
rnacentral:misc_RNA from 1 species